AACUGGCUGAGUUGAUGAACCGC
rnacentral:siRNA from 1 species